rnacentral:rRNA from 1 species
UACGUAGGGGGCGAGCGUUGUCCGGAAUCAUUGGGCGUAAAGAGCGUGUAGGCGGUUCGGUAAGUCUGCCGUGAAAACCUGGGGCUCAACCCUGGGCGUGCGGUGGAAACUGUCGAGCUAGAGGAUGGUAGAGGGGAGUGGAAUUCCCGGUGUAGCGGUGAAAUGCGCAGAUAUCGGGAAGAACACCCGUGGCGAAGGCGGCUUUCUGGGACGGUACUGACGCUGAGACGCGAAAGCGUGGGGAGCGAACAGG